rnacentral:rRNA from 1 species
AACGAACGCUGGCGGCAGGCUUAACACAUGCAAGUCGAACGGGCCCUUCGGGGUCAGUGGCAGACGGGUGAGUAACACGUGGGAACGUGCCCUUCAGUUCGGAAUAACCCAGGGAAACUUGGGCUAAGACCGGAUACGCCCCUUGGGGGAAAGAUUUAUCGCUGAAGGAUCGGCCCGCGUCUGAUUAGCUAGUUGGUGAGGUAAAGGCUCACCAAGGCGACGAUCAGUAGCUGGUCUGAGAGGAUGAUCAGCCACACUGGGACUGAGACACGGCCCAGACUCCGACGGGAGGCAGCAGUGGGGAAUAUUGGACAAUGGGCGCAAGCCUGAUCCAGCCAUGCCGCGUGGGUGAUGAAGGCCUUAGGGUUGUAAAGCUCUUUCGUCCGGGACGAUAAUGACGGUACCGGAAGAAGAAGCCCCGGCUAACUUCGUACCAGCCGCCGCAGUAACAC